rnacentral:rRNA from 1 species
AUUGAACGCUGGCGGCAGGCCUAACACAUGCCAGUCGAGCGGAUGAAGGGAGCUUGCUCCUGGAUUCAGCGGCGGACGGGUGAGUAAUGCCUAGGAAUCUGCCUGGUAGUGGGGGAUAACGUCCGGAAACGGGCGCUAAUACCGCAUACGUCCUGAGGGAGAAAGUGGGGGAUCUUCGGACCUCACGCUAUCAGAUGAGCCUAGGUCGGAUUAGCUAGUUGGUGGGGUAAAGGCCUACCAAGGCGACGAUCCGUAACUGGUCUGAGAGGAUGAUCAGUCACACUGGAACUGAGACACGGUCCAGGCUCCUACGGGAGGCAGCAGUGGGGAAUAUUGGACAAUGGGCGAAAGCCUGAUCCAGCCAUGCCGCGUGUGUGAAGAAGGUCUUCGGAUUGUAAAGCACUUUAAGUUGGGAGGAAGGGCAGUAAGUUAAUACCUUGCUGUUUUGACGUUACCAACAGAAUAAGCACCGGCUAACUUCGUG